CACCUAACUGCUAGCCCCCCACCCAUUUUUAAACCACCAAUAUUUUUAACAAUAAAUAACAUAAAAACCCCCAAACAAACCAUUUUUUACCCUAGUAAAGGAGAUAGAAAAG
rnacentral:rRNA from 1 species